rnacentral:rRNA from 1 species
UACGGAGGGGGCUAGCGUUGUUCGGAAUUACUGGGCGUAAAGCGCACGUAGGCGGCUUUGUAAGUUAGAGGUGAAAGCCCGGGGCUCAACUCCGGAACUGCCUUUAAGACUGCAUCGCUAGAAUUGUGGAGAGGUGAGUGGAAUUCCGAGUGUAGAGGUGAAAUUCGUAGGUAUUCGGAAGAACACCAGUGGCGAAGGCGACUCACUGGACACAUAUUGACGCUGAGGUGCGAAAGCGUGGGGAGCAAACAGG